rnacentral:rRNA from 1 species
GUGGGGAAUAUUGGACAAUGGGCGAAAGCCUGAUCCAGCCAUGCCGCGUGUGUGAAGAAGGUCUUCGGAUUGUAAAGCACUUUAAGUUGGGAGGAAGGGCAGUAAGUUAAUACCUUGCUGUUUUGACGUUACCGACAGAAUAAGCACCGGCUAACUUCGUGCCAGCAGCCGCGGUAAUACGAAGGGUGCACGCGUUAAUCGGAAUUACUGGGCGUAAAGCGCGCGUAGGUGGUUUUGUAAGUUGGAGGUGAAAUCCCCGGGCUCAACCUGGGAACUGCCUCCAAAACUGCAUGACUAGAGUACGGUAGAGGGUAGUGGAAUUUCCUGUGUAGCGGUGAAAUGCGUAGAUAUAGGAAGGAACACCAGUGGCGAAGGCGACUACCUGGACUGAUACUGACACUGAGGUGCGAAAGCGUGGGGAGCAAACAGGAUUAGAUACCCGGGUAGUCC